AAGACCUUGCGCUUUUGGAGCGGCCGAUGCCUGAUUAGCUAGUUGGUGGGGUAAUGGCCUACCAAAGCUUCGAUCAGUAGCUGGUCUGAGAGGACGGCCAGCCACACUGGGACUGAGACACGGCCCAGACUCCUACGGGAGGCAGCAGUGGGGAAUUUUGGACAAUGGGCGCAAGCCUGAUCCAGCCAUGCCGCGUGAGUGAAGAAGGCCUUCGGGUUGUAAAGCUCUUUCAGCCGGGAAGAAAAGGUUGCGAUUAAUAAUCGCAAUUUAUGACGGUACCGGAAGAAGAAGCACCGGCUAACUACGUGCCAGCAGCCGCGGUAAUACGUAGGGUGCGAGCGUUAAUCGGAUUUACUGGGCGUAAAGGGUGCGCAGGCGGUUUUGUAAGUCAGAUGUGAAAUCCCCGGGCUUAACCUGGGAACU
rnacentral:rRNA from 1 species